rnacentral:lncRNA from 1 species
GCAACCAAUGCCAGGACAAGUUCAAGGCCAGUGUACAUGUAGAUUGAGUAGAGGAAGAGUAUGAUUUUUGGGUGGAUAUAUUGUUUGUUGUGGAAAACGUGUAGAGAUGCGACAAAGAUUAGAGCUUUGAUCGCAUAGUUAAAAGGAGAUUUCUGACCUUUUGGGGCAGAUGCUAAAGACCCUGAUUUUAUUUUGUUCUCAACUUUUCGGAAUUUGAUUGGAAGGCAAGCCAAGGGGAUGAAAUGGAAGAUGCAGAUGGGUGGGGUGGUGGAGAGAGGGCCUUUGCCAUAGGCAAAGAGUAGGAGCUUGAAGUUGGCAAGGCAAGCAAAAAGAAAGAGGAAGGGCCUCCAAGGAAAAUGGUGGUGAGAUUGAGAGGAAGGAAGAAGAAGAAAAAUAUGACCGGAAGUAUGGCAAGGAGCCUGGUUAAACCAGGAGAAGUGAGCUUACCUAUGGUGUGACAGUAGGACAGUGAAGCCACAGCUAAGAUCCAUACCAUGAUGAAGUUGGGUAUUUCUCCUUCCAUUUUUCUUU